CGUCACUAAAACCCUCUUUGUUCAUUGCCUGAAAGGUGAAAAACCCUCCGUCGUUGCCAACUUGCCAUUUCUUUUCCCACACUCCUUUCACCCGGACAAGCAAAACUAAUUUGGUACAAAGUCCAUGGAGGUUUCCACCGCCACCCUCCAACCGUCUUGUUCUUUCCCACUCAGAGCCCCUAGACCCGCCACCAGAGAACGCGUCUCUUCUCUCUCCUCCAUCAGAUCCUCCCCUAAAUCUAUCUCCCUAUCUUAUAGCAUCACCAAAGGUUGUGACUUAGUAGUUAGAGAACCAGUUAAGUUACGGUGGUCCUCUGUUGUUGCUGCUACGGUUGGUGAUACAACUGCAGUGCCAAAUAGUUGCUCUAGUGGAGAAGAGUUGCCCGUUUCUGAUUCUUCUAAUCCCAUAUCGGUGGAAGAUCAGCCCAGUGGAAAUGGUGAGAAAGGGGAAGAGAAAGGUGGGAUUGGGGGAUUGGAUGACCACAAGAUGACCCGAAUAUGUGACAAGCUUAUUGAGGUUUUCUUGGUUGACAAGCCCACUCCAACUGACUGGAGAAGAUUAUUAGCUUUCAGUAAGGAAUGGGACGAUAUCCGGCCUCAUUUCUAUACACGGUGUCAGGACCGUGCAGAUGCUGAGGAUGAUCCUGGAAUGAAGCAUAAGCUACUGCGGCUUGGACGGAAAUUGAAAGAGAUUGAUGAAGAUGUGCAAGGACACAAUGAACUUCUUAAAGUCGUUAGAGGGGCUCAAUCAGAAAUUAGUGAAAUUGUUUCCAGACGCCGCAAAGAUUUCACUCAAGAAUUUUUUGUGCAUCUCCACACUGUUGCUGAAUCCUAUUACAACAAUCCGACAGAGCAAACUGCUUUGGCAAGUAUUGGAAAUAUGUGCUUGGCUGCUGUGCAAGCAUAUGAUUCUGCAACCGAAAGCAUUGAAGCACUGAAUGCGGCAGAGCUGAAAUUUCAAGAUAUUAUCGACUCUCCAACUGUUGAUGCGGCUUGUAGGAAGAUAGAUCACUUGGCUGAGAAAAAUCAACUCGACUCAGCAUUGGUGAUGAUGAUCACAAAAGCAUGGUCAGCUGCCAAAGAGUCGAGCAUGACGAAGGAUGAGGUAAAGGACGUACUUUAUCAUUUGUACGUGACCAAGAGGUAAUCUUCAGAGACUCAUGCCAAAAGAAAUUCGGAUACUUAAGUAUCUUCUCACAAUUGAGGAUCCUGAGGAGCGUCUGGCCGCCUUACACGAUGCAUUUACCCCAGGAGAGGAACUUGAAGGGACGGAUGUAGAUAACCUUUUCACGACCCCGGUGCAGCUUCACACCUGGAUGAAGGCUAUUGUGGACGCUUACCAUUUCAGCCAGGAAGGCACUCUAAUAAGGGAAGCAAGAGACCUCAUGAAUCCAAAGAUCAUUCAAAAAAUGGAGGAGCUGAAGAAGUUAGUUGAAAACAAGUUCCUGUGACAAAGAUCAAUUAACUCAUCUCCUCGACCGACUAUUUAUCUCAGAUCAACUUGGGAUAUUCAAAAGAACCUUAUCCAUAUUCUGAAGUUUCCAGUGGCAUGAGCUGCAACGCUUGGAACUUCAAACAUCGAAUUGAUCUGUCGGGCUUAUAGGUUUAAAAAAUUUGAGUUAUUUCUCGGAUUUUUGUAGUCUGAUGUACACCAAUCCCUUUUUCAUUGUAAACUACACAGCUUUGUAAAAUUAUUGGCUCGUAAGUUUGAAAAUUAAUCCAUUGUAAGUCUCUCAUCCUCUGUGUGUUGAAAUAAUUAACAGGAAACUUUACG